AUGCUGCUCUUGUGCAAGAGCUCCGUGCUCGCCGUCCUGCUCCUCCACGCUCUCUCGCUGCCCGCCUCGGCGCUCGCCGUCGGGCUCGCGCGGCGCCACCGGCGCGACGUUUUGCCCGGCCCCAAGGGCUGCGACGUCUUCAGCGGCAGCUGGGUCCGUGACGACGGCUCCGCGGAGGCGGCCUACACCGGGUACAAGUGCCCGGUCAUCGACGCGGAGUUCAACUGCCAGCUCUACGGCCGCCCGGACUCCGACUACCUCCGGUACCGCUGGAAGCCGGCCAGCUGCGAGCUACCCAGGUUUGACGGCGCGGACUUUUUGACGCGGAUGAAGGGGAAGACGGUGAUGUUCGUGGGGGACUCGCUGGGCCGUAAUCAGUGGGAGUCGCUCGUCUGCCUGCUGCACGCCGCCGCGCCGCAGUCGCCGUCGCAGCUCGUCUCCGCCGACCCUCUCUACACCUACAGGUUCAUGGAGUACGAGCUGGUGGUGUCUUUCUAUCGCGCGCCGUACCUGGUGGACAUCGACGUGGUGCAGGGGAAACGGGUCCUGAUGCUCGACGACAUCGCCGAGAACGCCCAGGCGUGGCGCGGUGCCGACGUGCUGUCCUUCAACUCCGGCCACUGGUGGACGCACACCGGCGCGCUCCAGGGGUGGGAUUACAUGGGGAAGGGCGGGCGGUACUCAGAGGACAUGGAUCGGAUGGUGGCGUUCCAGCGCGGGAUGACCACAUGGGCCAACUGGGUGGACCUCAACGUCGACCCGGCCAAGACCCGUGUCUUCUUCCAGUCCAUGUCCCCCACCCACUACAGCUCCAAGGAGUGGCCCAACCCAGUGUCCAAGAACUGCUACGGGGAGACGGUCCCAUUGACUGGGCUCAACUCCACAGCGCAGCCGAUGGGCCAGGAGCAGGUGACGAAAACGGUGCUGCAGACCAUGAAAUGCCCGGUCCGUUUGCUCGACAUCACGGCGCUGUCGGCGCUGCGGAAGGACGCGCACCCGUCGGUUUACAGCGGCGACUUCUCGCCGGCCCAGCGCGGCAACCCCGCCGGCUCCGCCGACUGCAGCCACUGGUGCCUCCCGGGCCUACCGGACACCUGGAACCAGCUCUUCUACACCUUGCUCUUCUACCAAUAG
rnacentral:rRNA from 1 species